AACUCAAUUGGCAAAGGGACUGGAGGAAUGGAGAAGUCCAAACCCACCCUCUUGGAGCCUUAUUGCAGUGUGGGGAUGAUCUUUUGAUAGCCACUGAUGCUGAGCAGCAACGUUGGGGUCAGACUGUGGCCCUGUGGAAUUUCCUUGGGCUGAGUGGAUAUGGGGUAUCCCAAACACAAAGUGCAAGUAGUCCAGAGCCCAGGAGCCUCCGUGGGCUUUGAAAUUCUCCAAGGACAAGGGAGGCUGGGCCAGGAAGGAAAGAAGCAACCUGUCAACUGCCCCAGCCCCAGCCAAGGAAGCCCAGAGCGGGAUUGCUUCCAGACUAGAGGAGAAGUGUAUUGGGGCAGAGCUGACUUAGGAGACAGCCCCUUGGAAAGUCCUGGUUGGGAAUUGUUUCCCAGUGGGGGCAGCUUUGUCCGGCAUGGAAAACAAUUCUCUGGAUGCACAGAACUCCCCACCACCAGGUCAGAGAUCCUGACAGAGAUCCUUCUCCCAGUAGAAGAAAAUGAGUCUAGUGCUAAGGAUUGUCAACUCCUUGAAACCUUAGAGCAAAAUUUGCUCCAGGAGGCUGGGCAGUUACCCCAAGUGGGCAAAUAAUAGUCCCUGAGCCAAUCUCUGUGACCUGGUGGAUGGGGAACAUGAGGGUAUUCCUUGGAGUGAAGCAAAUUAUUGAAACAUUUGCACAAGUGGGUUCUUGGUCCAAAACUGACCCCAGUUGUACAAGCAGUGAGUCAGCAGUGUGGUGUGUGGAAGAGAAAUAAUCCAAACCCUGCCACUGGAAUGGGAACAGGUGAUGGAAAAUGUAGAAAUGUUGCAGGUGAAUAUUGGCAGAUGGAUGUGACUGAAUUGCCCAGAAAAGGGGGGUGUAAAGAUCUCCUAGUCUUGGGAGAUACCUUCUCUGGGUGGCCAGAGGCUUUUCCUUGUCACACCAACUGGGCUGGGGAAGUGAGUGGAAUACUGUUGAAUCCAAGAAUCCCUGGAUUCGAGGUACAUUUGGGAAUGUCAUCAGACAGAGGUGCCCACUUGAUUGUAGAAGUGGUCCAACAAGUCAAGUCAGGGAUGCAUUAUUGCAGAAUUCCAAAGGCCAGAGCCCCUUGGGUAAUUGAGAGGUUGUCUGAGAGGAAACCAAAUGCUUAAGUCUGCUUUGGCUCUCCUGACAAUAGUUAAUUGGGUCUUGACUUGGGAGCAAAAUUUACAUCUCCUUUUAGUCUCAAAUGUGGCCCAAGUGUUGCCUCCAAGGGAUUGCUGGGUGUGCACUCCUUUACCUGAAAAGACAAGGAAGCCAUUCACCAUUUCUGCCUUCCUUAUUCUGGCAGAAAUGAUUCCUGGUCACUGGGUGAGCACUUGUGUUCCCCAAAAAGUAGACCCGCCAGUUAGUGUGCAAGUACCCCCCACCACCUCUGACAAUCCUGCCUGUGUCCAAAGCUGUAACCCCCACUAAAGGAACAGGACAAGUGGAUUGUGUUAAUGAGAGUGGCCCGUUUGUGGGAAAUCACCCCCAAUGUCCUCAAACCCUUCCUGCUGGGGAAAUGACUGAUCCUUGGCCGGUCCCCAAAGGAACGGGGUGGGAUUGGUGUGUGGAAAUAACACCUGUGAAGGGUUGCCCCAAAGCUGGAAGGGCAUUUGUAUUUUAGCUUGCAUCAGGAUUCAGUGCUGUAGCUGUUCUAAUGCCUUGAGCUGUAAAAUGAAAUAAAGCUCCUAAGACACUCUAUCCCUUCAGGAGCUUAGUCUGAAAAAAGGGGGGAUUUGAUGUGGGAUAUAGAAGACUGCUCCCAACAUUUCUCUAUGGCCAAGGAAGGAGAACUGUAAUCUUGGAGAGGUCCUGGAGAAUUGGAUCAGGGAUGUAACUAAGCAAACAGGAUGGAAGCUGAGCUCUGUGGGCCCAGAGAAGAUCAAACUCAAACGUUCCAGUCUUUGUGGUGAAAGGUAAUGACACUGUGUCUGCUCAGAACCGAGGUCAAGAAGUGGACACCUCAACUUUGGGGGGCACCAGAUACCAAAAAACCCACCAGAGAGCCCCGAAGGAGACCCCAAAGGACCAACUAAGGACUUGCAAUAGGGGGGGUGACUGUGUAAAGCAAAGUAACAUCUAUGUCUUAAGUAAGGGAGAAUAUCUAAUGAAUAUGGAAACUGUGUGUGUAAUGUAAAGCCCUGUGUGGCUGUCGCUGAAGUGCUGAGGCUUAACAACAGGCUCUGAGCCAAAACUGAGUUCUAGAUGAACCUUCCAACCUAACAGUCUGUUUAUCCCUGUAUUUGCUCCUUAGCUAAAACUGUGUAUGUUUGUUGGUCAAAGAUGUAGUGUGGAAAGACUACCCGUGUAUCUGCCCCUGAACAAAAUAAAUGUGCUUAUUAGUGAGA